CACUUCUCAGGACCCUUUCUUGAGCAAUGCAAGUUUAUUAAUUGGUUUGCUACUUCAUCAAUGGAAAGUGAAUAUACACCAGCCUUUGUAAAACUGAGCACAUUUAUCAAGCACUUCAGGCAAAUUCACUGGUAAAGAUAAAUAUUUAGACCCAUUUGUUGACU